AUUUUUGACGUGAAAGAGAAAACUACUUGGGUAGGUGGUCUGCAUUUCCAGAUAAUAAGCGACCAACAAUCAUUUCCAUCUUGGCAUCAACAGGAUUUUUUGUUAGAAGCAACCUUUAACAUUACGAUAGGAUGUCAUCAAUGCACGGCAUUGUCAAAUAUGCCAUUGCGAAGUAUGAAAUUUGAUGAGCACAAUAUGGUAUGGAGACACUACGAUACCACACCUGUAAUGUGGACUGAAUACGCAACAAUAAUUGUGUCUAAUUACCUAAAUCCUAUUGAUAUACAUACUCGCAACAUUAAAAUGUGGUGCAGAUUUGAAGUUCACAUGGAAUAUGCAAAAAAUGUAAUUGAAAAUAUCAUGUUGUUUUUAAAUGAUAAAUGGAAACAUUCGAACAAUAUUUCGAAAGUGGAUCAUGUUGCAAUUCCAAAUUUCCAUGACAAAGGCACAAUAAUUUUCGGACUUGUUCUUUAUAGCACCUUUUUUAAUCCGCAUGAUGGAACACGCCUUCACCAAAGAAUAUUUUGGAAAAG